UUUAAGGGUUGACAGUGGAGAAAAGGAUUUUUUGCUGGAGAACUUUGUGUAUGUGAGACUUUCUUACGGAUGUGGCAUGUGGCACUGCUCGCCUCAUGACAGCUGUUCAACAGGAGGGCUCAUCAUCCCAAAGGCAGAGGGUCCACAUCUGCUGACAAGCAAGGUGUAUACUGUCCUUAUGCAGAGAGAAAGCAUGCCUAUCAGGAAAGUACAGGAAGGAAGGUAAGGAGAGAGACUGUGGAGGAAAGAGCCAUACAUCUUUCAUGAGGACUUUUCCCUCUGAAGAACAUAGGCAUUAUGAUAAUGAAGCUCCUAUACAAACGGACUGAUAAUACACGAUUUUUUGUAUUGAUCACUGAAAUCAGAAGAAAAUAGCCAGCACACUAUGUGGCAUAUAUGUUCAAAACCCCAAGAAAAUCACAGUAGAUAAAUGUAUUAUGGAGAUGGAAAUGAUUAAAAUUGUACAUUGUCAGAUAAUACCAUGGGGAAAAAAGUGCUAAUGUACUUCUCAUUCAGACACAUAGUAUACUGCUGUUGGCAAUGCCAACGAGUAAUGCUGGAGUCGUUACAAAAAUCCUCCCUGUACCUACUCAUCUCUUGCUGGUAUCUGUAAUUAGUUGCAUGCUGAGACAAGUCAGAGACUUCUGCCAUAUCUCUGUGAAAGCCUCAAAGUCACAGCUCUAUGUAUUAUUAAUACAAAUGAACAGGCUUCAGUAAAACAUGAAAAUAACUCCAUCUGGAUCCUCUUAAUAUAAUGCAUUGUUUGAGCUCUGGAUUUUGCGGUGAUAUUUUUGGAGUAUAAUGCCAUCUAAAUCCUUGAACAAAAUUGUUUUCCUAUAUCACAUCCACUAUUCUAUAUAACAGAUAAAUAGCUGUCAUUCUGAUGAAUGUCCUCAGGGCAUUCAACAUAAUAGGAUGUUAAAGUAUAGCCAAAGCUACUUGGCAUCAGCCAAAACUCAUUAUUGGAGAUCAGCAUCCCAAUCAACAUUUAAUGAAUUAUGAUCAAUUUAAAGUGACUGUUUAUCAUCCUAUGUGGACAAAAUAGUAAAGUGGACCUAAGGCCAGUCAUUGCCCAAGUCUUUCUUUGAUUGAAGUUGCUUUUUGGCUAUUAACAAUUCAACAUAGCACUCAAAAUAUAGCCAAUUGUUGUAAUUACUCUGACCCCAACUGAAAGCGUUAUUCUGAAAUAUGGGAAAGAUAGUGAAGUGCAAAAUAUAAGACUUUGUUUUGCUAACAUUAAACAUGUUCAUAUGACAGAAAUAAUUUAAACUCGAGAGAAAACAAGAUUAGUACCCCAACUUAAGAUAAAUAAUUUAUAUGAAAUCACUUUUUAUUGACUUUGAGGGAUUUCUCCUGUAUCCUUCCUUUCACAUUCAUGCCUUCUUUGGUUAUUCCUGCAACAUCAAAAUUCUGUUUGAUUUUAUAACCCUAGCAUGCUUUUUUUCAUAGUAGAUAGGUAACAUUUUCUUAUUGCUGUACAUAGAACAUCUUUGAAUAGUUUUUAAUAAAAAUGUUGGGUAUCUUCUUUGCACUAGUCUCUUGAAACGCUCAAGUACUAACAUUUGGAAUAAAUGCUUGCAAA